AUUGAACGCUGGCGGCAUGCCUUACACAUGCAAGUCGAACGGCAGCACGGGGGCAACCCUGGUGGCGAGUGGCGAACGGGUGAGUAAUGCAUCGGAACGUGCCCAGUAGUGGGGGAUAGCCCGGCGAAAGCCGGAUUAAUACCGCAUACGUACUGAGGUAGAAAGCGGGGGACCGAAAGGCCUCGCGCUAUUGGAGCGGCCGAUGUCGGAUUAGCUUGUUGGUGGGGUAAUGGCCUACCAAGGCGACGAUCCGUAACUGGUCUGAGAGGACGACCAGUCACACUGGGACUGAGACACGGCCCAGACUCCUACGGGAGGCAGCAGUGGGGUAUUUUGGACAAUGGGCGAAAGCCUGAUCCAGCAAUGCCGCGUGUGUGAAGAAGGCCUCGG
rnacentral:rRNA from 1 species